UUAAAAUUAUAUAAAUAUGGAAAAUAAUUUCGAGAUGCAUAUGUUCGAAUACUUUCGUGAGCAACUGUACGUGCACAUUGUCGUACGUGGCACGAGGCACAUGCCAGGAACGUAGCUCCCGUUGGUGCACCUCCUAUAAGAGACUUGUUGAAGCGCCUUUUUUUAUUUAUUGACAGUCAUAUCGUACUUCGAAGGAUAGUUAAACUGAUUAGUUUUAACGUAUGUCUUCGCUUAUUGUGGCUCCAGGAGAAAGUCAUCUAAACGACCACGACCUAUUUAACAAUUGACUAGUGCAAAUUUAACAGCAGUUUUUAUGCCGUUUAAAACGAUAGAAAUUUCAAAGAAAUUUCAAGAAAUCCUGCGGAUUUCGGAAAGUCGAGCUCUUAAUAUCCGCUAAUAUCCUUUACCUCGACGAUAUUUCAAUGAAUUUGUUAAACUUCCAAAGCUGCAUUUCAUACGUAGCAAUGAAAGUAGUAAUUCUGAAAAACGAUAGUGUAUGUAGAGAGGAAAGAAUAAAAAAGUAUGAGGAAAAACGGAAAAAUUGUAACGGACUCGGGAAAACGGUACCCAUGUCCUUCAUAGAAACGAGUCUUCUACGAGUCCAUGGUUCUUUAGUGUGGAUCUCAAAGAAUCUUUGUCUCUCGAACACGUUAUCUCGAAAACAUCUCAAUUCACAGAGUAUCGUGCCAUCAACUUCCUUCUUGUGCAGUUGAUUUCUGACUCGCUAAUUGCAGUUCCAUGAACCUGCAAAAAAGAUUUUCUUCGAUUAUUUCGAUGAAAUCGAGUCAUUAAAUUUUACGUCGUUUCAUAAUGCAAUGUUAUACUUAGACUUUAUUUCGUUUUGGUCUUAGGAAUGUUCGACACAAAAUCCAAGGAUCACAGAGUUAUCUGUUUUCUCGUUAUCAAAUACUGACAUAUGCGGGGAGAUAAAACAUGUAAGGCUCGAUUAAAAGAAGUGCAUUAAUUCGAAUGAAAUUCAAAGUGACGCGAAGGGGUGGUGCACGAUAGCGGUCUGGAUGCUUCGAAAAAAGAAACUCGUUUGUUUCAUUAUUCGAAUUCAGUAAAAGUACUCACGUUGGCGCAAUUAACGAGCUCUGGCAAGAAUCUUCACUAGAAGAUCGUGUGCGUGCGUUUUUAUGCACACACGCGUAGGAUUCUUAUUCGUCGCUAUCACAUAGGGUAUCUUCGGUUAAGUGUCCACCAGUGUGUUCGAAUAGAAAUAUUUCUGAACAAUAUUGCUGACGAAUCUGUAAUGAUAUAUGUAUAUACGAAACUUUACAUCCAACAAACCUCUGUUUAAUACGGGUGAAAUGUAACGUAUAUAAUUUUAUAACCUCAAAUGUGUCAUUGACAUCCUACAAAAAAAAAGUAGAAUAAAAGAAAGAAAAUAAUUUAAAUGAUUAGUUUUUUGUCCUUACUGCGUAUUAUGAACGAUUUCUUUGUAUAA